AAGAUGCUGAGCCAUUCGCCGUCCUAUAAUCAGGAGCUGCUCUACAGGAGAUCUGAGACACCUUCUGCACUUCUUAUCAUCCGUCUUUGACACUCUGUCUUGUAUUUUGCCCUUGACUGGACGUAAGAUCUAACGCGAGCUCCUGUGGAUUCAGCACACAGGGCACACAGCAGGAGUGAGAUGCAAUCAGCUUCAUUGACCGACUCAUUCGUCCUCCGCCAGACGGGAAAGAUAAAGGUGGACCCCCGCUUCACUAAUGGAUUUCUAAAAUCAUUAUCCAGAGGCUGUCCUGACACUGAAGGUUCUCAAGAAAAGGGGUGAAACUGGGAUUGAAGCUGAGUCACCAGAGAUUGAAGCCUGUGGAUUGACGGCCCUGUUCUGCAGUGAUUCAUCUCACAACCCUUCUGCCCAAAACCUUUCUACGGGUUUCAUUCAUGCAGACGGAUCUCCAACAGAUGAAGCAGUCCUACAGGAGGACAAAAUGAGAACCCUUGCUUUACAUGUGGGCUUAAGUUGCUUUUGGAAGAGAAAUAUAGUCUAUCCAUUUUCUGUCAUUCUGUAUGUUUAAUCAUGACAACACUUCUAUUUCUGUUUAAAAGCAUACACUUUA